CCAAUGUACUUAUUUGAUCUAUCCUAUAAAAGGAGACUGACCAUUGCAGGAUUGACCAAACUCUUCAAAGGACUUACAAGCGCACACAUUUCAAUCACAUCAUGGCGAUGGCGAGGAGAUUGUGUAUGCUGGUUCUAUUAGUUUUGUUUGUAAUGUCCCUGGCGGAUGCCUAUGUAAUAUACAGAAGAUACUACACACCAAGAUAUUACAGAUCAUAUGAUCGUAGGCCCAUCAUAGACACCGACGAUCUAGAUGAUAUAGACCCAGUGUAUGUUAUAACAGGUUAAUGGACAACGAAGACAAAGAUACAAAUGGAUUCAUUAUUAUGGAACAUCUCGUCACAUACCAUAUCUUUCACUGACACUCAUUCUUCAUCUAGUCAUUUAAACUUCAAUAUAUUUAUUUUUUUGUAUUAAAUAAAAAAAUACUUCUUUUACUUAGUUGUUGUAGUUCUUUGAUUAAACCAUUAUUAUCAGUAA